rnacentral:rRNA from 1 species
UACAGGUGGUGCAUGGUUGUCGUCAGCUCGUGUCGUGAGAUGUUGGGUUAAGUCCCGCAACGAGCGCAACCCUUGUCUUUAGUUACCAUCAUUCAGUUGGGGACUCUAGAGAGACUGCCGGUGAUAAACCGGAGGAAGGUGGGGAUGACGUCAAAUCAUCAUGCCCCUUAUGGCCUGGGCUACAAACGUAAUACAAUGGCGUAUACAAAGGGAUGCGAAAGGGCGACCUGGAGCAAAACUCACAAAGUACGUCUCAGUUCAGAUUGGAGUCUGCAACUCGACUCCAUGAAGGCGGAAUCGCUAGUAAUCGCGGAUCAGCAUGCCGCGGUGAAUACGUUCUCGGGGUUU